rnacentral:rRNA from 1 species
GACGAACGCUGGCGGCGUGCUUAACACAUGCCCGUCGAACGGAAAUGCCCUGCUUUUGUGGGAUUCUCGAGUGGCGAACGGGUGAGUAACACGUUAGUAACCUUCCCUUGACUUUGGGAUAACUUCAGGACACUGUGGCUAAUACCGGAUAGGAGCUCCUGCUGCAUGGUGGGGGUUGGAAAGUUUCGGCGGUUGGGGAUGGACUCGCGGCUUAUCAGCUUGUUGGUGGGGUAGUGGCUUACCAAGGCUUUGACGGGUAGCCGGCCUGAGAGGGUGACCGGCCACAUGGGGACUGAGAUACGGCCCAGACUCCUACGGGAGGCAGCAGUGGGGAAUAUUGCACAAUGGGCGGAAGCCUGAUGCAGCAACGCCGCGUGCGGGAUGACGGCCUUCGGGUUGUAAACCGCUUUCGCCUGUGACGAAGCGUGAGUGACGGUAAUGGGUAAAGAAGCACCGGCUAACUACGUG